rnacentral:tRNA from 1 species
UGGGAGUGUUCCCGCGCGGCCAAAGGGGGCAGACUGUAAAUCUGUUGACAAUGUCUACGGUGGUUCGAAUCCACCCGCUCCAACCA